rnacentral:rRNA from 1 species
GAUGAACGCUGACAGAAUGCUUAACACAUGCCAGUCUACUUGAAUUUGGGUUUUUUACCUUCGAUUUGGGUGGCGGACGGGUGAGUAACGCGUAAAGAACUUGCCUCACAGCUAGGGACAACAUUUGGAAACGAAUGCUAAUACCUGAUAUUAUGAUUAUAAGGCAUCUUAGAAUUAUGAAAGCUAUAUGCGCUGUGAGAGAGCUUUGCGUCCCAUUAGCUAGUUGGAGAGGUAACGGCUCACCAAGGCGAUGAUGGGUAGCCGGCCUGAGAGGGUGAACGGCCACAAGGGGACUGAGACACGGCCCUUACUCCUACGGGAGGCAGCAGUGGGGAAUAUUGGACAAUGGACCAAGAGUCUGAUCCAGCAAUUCUGUGUGCACGAUGACGUUUUUCGGAAUGUAAAGUGCUUUCAGUUGGGAAGAAAAAAAUGACGGUACCAACAGAAGAAGUGACGGCUAAAUACGUG